rnacentral:misc_RNA from 1 species
UCAAACUUGGUCAUUUAGAGGAAGUAAAAGUCGUAACAAGGUUUCCGUAGGUGAACCUGCGGAAGGAUCAUUACUGAAUUAAUGGACAGGGUUGUUGCUGGCCUUCACCGGCAUGUGCACGCCUUGCUCAUCCCAAUUCCUAUACCUCUGUGCACCUUACAUUGGAUGGCGGCCAUCUGCUCUGCUGUGAGGCAGGGUGGGGGCAGCUGUUCAGUGCUUUAAUUUUUAUACACCUUGGUAAUGAAUGUCUCUUACAUGCUAUAUGCAUUAUAUACAACUUUUAGCAACGGAUCUCUUGGCUCUCGCAUCGAUGAAGAACGCAGC